rnacentral:rRNA from 1 species
AUCAACGCAGACUGCACGCUUUCAGACAGUGUUCGUGUUGGGGUCUCCGGCGGGCACGGGCCCGGGGGGCAGAGGCGCCCCCCCGGCGGCCGACAAGCGGCGGGCCCGCCGAAGCAACAGGGCACAAUAGACACGGAUGGGAGGAGGGGCCCAAAGGACCCGCACUCCGGAAAGAUCCCUUCCGGGAAGGGGGCCUGCGGAAGGAUCAUUACCGAGUGCGGGUCCUUUGGGCCCAACCUCCCAUCCGUGUCUAUUGUACCCUGUUGCUUCGGCGGGCCCGCCGCUUGUCGGCCGCCGGGGGGGCGCCUCUGCCCCCCGGGCCCGUGCCCGCCGGAGACCCCAACACGAACACUGUCUGAAAGCGUGCAGUCUGAGUUGAUUGAAUGCAAUCAGUUAAAACUUUCAACAAUGGAUCUCUUGGUUCCGGCAUCGAUGAAGAACGCAGCGAAAUGCGAUAACUAAUGUGAAUUGCAGAAUUCAGUGAAUCAUCGAGUCUUUGAACGCACAUUGCGCCCCCUGGUAUUCCGGGGGGCAUGCCUGUCCGAGCGUCAUUGCUGCCCUCAAGCCCGGCUUGUGUGUUGGGUCGCCGUCCCCCUCUCCGGGGGGACGGGCCCGAAAGGCAGCGGCGGCACCGCGUCCGAUCCUCGAGCGUAUGGGGCUUUGUCACAUGCUCUGUAGGAUUGGCCGGCGCCUGCCGACGUUUUCCAACCAUUCUUUCCCAGGUGACCUCGGAUCAGGUAGGGAUCCCCGAGUUC